rnacentral:tRNA from 1 species
UGGGUUAUAGCUCAGUGGUAGAGCACUUGCCUUGCAUACUUGAGGCCCUGGGUUUGAUCCUCAGCACCACAU